AUGGAUAAAAAAAGUGUUAUAAAAAUAAGAAGAGUUAUCUCUUUUUGGAAAAGAGACAGUAUUCCUGUACAGUAUGUGUUUAAAGACCAUUUCAUUGGACACGCCCGCGCAUGACAAUUUUGAAGUAACACAAGUGGCCCGGGACUUGAUAGAGCGAGCAAGCAAUAAACAAACAUGCCGUUAAAGAUAGCUAAAUAUUCUGCAAUCUCUGGUUGUGGAAGAAUACAGUCGCUGCAUAACCUUCCUUCGGAUUUCCGAUAUUAGGAAUCGGGGGUUUAAGUUUUUUUUAAAGACGUUCCAGCUCAUGUGGGAAAAACAUGGAGCGUUUGUUCGUUUCAUUUUUUGAGGAUUCCUUCGUAAACAAGACACAAGAUAUGUGGAAAGAAGUGCCUUCAAUAUUGGAUCCGAUAGGAAUGGCGCAACAAUCUUAUGUUUGCUAGGAUGUAAUGGUAACUCUUCACAUUCUUCCCCUGCUCAACGAUCUGGAACAGACAGAAGAAAAGCUACUGUAACACACCACUGAGGUAAAAAGUCACAGAAUGGAGAAGAAUAAAACUGAAAGAUGGCUAUUCAGGAGGACAUGUCGGAGACGAUGUUGAGAGAAGAAUUGGAAGAAAUGGAAGCAACCAUCGAGAGUACAGUCAAUCUCGAAUUCCC